rnacentral:tRNA from 1 species
AGCUUAGUUGGUCUAUAGCGGCCGGUUCAUACCCGGCAGGUCGGCGGUUCGAAUCCACCC